UGACUUCGUUGUCAGUGACUCUAUGAUGG
rnacentral:piRNA from 1 species